GAUCAACAGUCAGCAAAAUGCAAAGAUGUCUCCAUGGUUACUGCAACUGAGUCAAAGACUCUGAACCCUCAGAAGGACCAGCCAGCAAAGUGCAAAGCUGGGAAAAAUCGCUUGGCUACAUUCUUGAAAACCCUUGUGUGCAGAAAAACGAAGGCAUAAUGCAUAGCUCCUGACGUUUUCCUUGCUAACAAGUGACCUCUGCAAUUUUACAAAUAUUUUCUGAAAUUCAUUCUCAUUCUUUCCU